rnacentral:antisense_RNA from 1 species
AGAGACAAACCCCAGGAGAGCCUGAGGUCCUCCAGAGGGAUAUUAGUGAGCGGCUUGUCUGAGCAAAAGCCAUUUCUACUCACCCCACAGUCGUUAGCUCCAUCUCCACACAUGCCCACAUAAUAACUGCGGAAGACAGGAGAAGAAGGAUUAGUAGGUCCAGUCUCUUGGUUCUCCACCAGCUGCCAGGUCACAGAGGCAGGAACAAAUUCUUCUGGUUCAUUGGCUUCAACAAUGAUCACUUGGCUGCCUGGAGGGAUCAUUUCAGAAUUCUUUGCAACAGUAAUGGCCGUUUGAAGGUUAUCACCUAGAAGACAAAGAAACUUUGCUUGCUGUAUGUACAAACCUCCCCUCAGCAACAAGAACUGAGGUCUCCCUUUUCCACUCUGCUUGGUAUUCUUUGAGGGCAUUUACUGCUUUCUGCCUUAUUUUAUCUUCCUCUCUGCUGUAGACUGCCCCUACUGGGCAAACACUAU